AACGAACGCUGGCGGCAUGCCUAAUACAUGCAAGUCGAACGGAAUGGGGCAACCCAUUUAGUGGCGGACGGGUGAGUAACGCGUGGGAACCUGCCCAUCGGUACGGAAUAACCUCGGGAAACUGAGGCUAAUACCGUAUGCGCCCCCCAGGGUACCUUGGGGGGGAAAGAUUUAUCGCCGGUGGAGGGGCCCGCGUCGGAUUAGGUAGUUGGUAAGGUAACGGCUCACCAAGCCUUCGAUCCGUAGCUGGUCUGAGAGGAUGAUCAGCCACACUGGGACUGAGACACGGCCCAGACUCCUACGGGAGGCAGCAGUAGGGAAUAUUGGACAAUGGGGGCAACCCUGAUCCAGCAAUGCCGCGUGAGUGAUGAAGGCCUUAGGGUUGUAAAGCUCUUUUGGCAGGGACGAUGAUGACGGUACCUGCAGAAUAAGCCCCGGCUAACUUCGUGCCAGCCGCCGCGGUAA
rnacentral:rRNA from 1 species